rnacentral:lncRNA from 1 species
GCGGCAGCUGCAGGAGGGAGAGCCACGCCAGGCGUCCCUCAAGGCUGGAGGGCUGGGGGAGGGGAAGUCAUCGUCUUCAAGGGUUGCUCAGCUCAGCCACCUCGCGAUCCCCACCCGUGACCUGCUCAGCUGGGAAGAAAGCAAGAAGCCGCUUUAGGGUCGCCUCUGGAGGCCUGGUCAAAAUGGAGCAGUCCAGGCUUCAGUCCGGGGCGGGGGGGAGCUGCUCCUGGGAGAGACAGAGCCCUUGGAAUCUAGUUGAAGGGUUGGGGGGAACUCGGAAGAACCCCUCCCCCGGCCUCGACGCAUCUUGGGAGCAACGGUGGGUGGCUGGUGUGGGCAGCUUCCCUCUGGCUCUUCGAAGCGACUGGGGGAGUUCGUGGUUCGUAGGAUAUCUCUAGAAAGCUGGCUUUUGCUUUGGUGGGCUCCCUGAAGCCCUUCAGCUUUACUGGGGGUCAAGAUAGUACAGGUGGGAACAGGUCUAGGAGUGGGGACGGC